GUGUGUGUGUGCGUGCCUGUGUGUGUGGGAGAGAGUGAAAAAAAUGGUCACAGAGUAUAAGUGUAAAAAUAUUUUUUAGACUAGCAUCACCAAGAUGUGUGAGAAAUGUUACAAUAGAUAAUUUUGUGCUCCGUCUAUUAAUUAUGCCUUUUAAUAUUUCAUUUCUAAAUGAAAGGGGAUACUGUCAUUGCAGUAUCUAAUAUGUGCUGAGCUUUGGGAUGAAAGAAUUACAUUAGGUGAUGUGAUUAAAUGAGUUAAGAAAUGGAAAAUAGUAAGAACAGGGUCUGAAACAUAGUAAGUUAUAUAAGAGUGUGCGCUACUUUUAUUAUUACAAACAAAAUAAUUAAUAUUACAGAUGAAAGGCUAUUGUUUGGAGAGAUUCAAUAACUUUCUCAGGGUUAUAUUAGCAUUAAGGGGAAAGUGAGAUCUAUAUUGAGUUCUUAGGACUCCAAAUCCAAACAUCAACCCUAAUCCAUCCCCCAAAAUAAGUUAGUUUGAAACAUGCAAUGAGUCUUAAGGAUAUCUCUGAUGAAAUUCAUAUAAGUAAAUUUCAAAGUUCUUCCUAAAUAAAGAGCCAGUAAUCCAGGCAGUCAAGUUUUAAAAAUCCAGGAAGGGAACCUAGAAGCAAUAAUAAAGAUAUAAUUUACUGACAAGUCUUAUCAGGUGUAAGUAGACCCUCGAUCUAUAGAUUUCACAUGGCCAUGUCUAUGCAGUAGGACAAUAUCCACAGUUGAUACAUGAGGUACUGUAAUUGUUAUUGGCCAAUCUUAGUUUUGUUCAGAGAAGGAAGACAGCCAAAGGCUCUUGGAGAUGUAUUUUAUCCAGCACCUCCUUUUAACUUAGAUUUAUUGCAUUCCAGACCCUACCAUAAGCCUCAUUUCUUUCUUCCAGAUCCUUCUGAACAUUGUCAAUAACAUGAGUCAUAUGCUAUCUUGCUGUGAUAUUUCCCCAUUGUUACAUACAAAUGCACAAAUCAUUUUUAAAUUUUUUUUUCUUAAAGGGAAGUCCUACUGUCUCUUCGGUGCAUUGCAAAACAAACAAGCAAGGAAACAAACAAGCAAACAAAACAAACUACUUCCAAAGGACAGAGAAAGGGAACACUGGGUUUUCAGGCGUCUCCCUUUAGAAGGCUGAGACCAGAGGAAAGGAUUGGAAAUAUAUCUACCAAUAUGCCUUCAAGGAAAAAUAACAGAAAACCCAACUCAAAUUGGCUUAAACAAGAAAGAAACUUUUUUUGACCUGCUUAACUGAAAAGUCUAAAGGAUCAAGCGAACUUCAGGAAAUGGCAGGUGGAGGAGCUGCUUCUGCCAGCUGGAUCUGCAAUUCGGACAGCACGAAGAGCAUGGAAACGGGGCCAUUACCCAGUUUGCUAAAUUAAAGAAGGCAACCAGUCUCGGCAGGCCAUCAGCUCCACACAGUCACUGCCCUACUGUACAUGCCAACGACCCAUCUGAGGGAUCAGCUUCCCUUUGCUCCCCAAACGAGAGCCUCUGCUCUUGGGCACCUCAGAGAUGCGUGUGUGUGUGUGUGUGUGUGUGUGUGUGUGUGUGUGUGCGCGUGUGUGUGCAUGCAGACUAUUUGGAAAUUCGCUUUUAGAUGGAUUAAUGCUCGGUAAAGCUCUCAUGUUUCUCCAAAGUAUAUCCAGUGAGUAACAGUAGUAUUUUCAAUCAAUAGUAUUGCUUGCUAAAAUAACAGAUCUACAAUAAAGCCUUCUA
rnacentral:lncRNA from 10 species